UAGGGAAUUUUCCGCAAUGGGGGGAACCCUGACGGAGCAACGCCGCGUGAGUGAAGACGGCCUUCGGGUUGUAAAGCUCUGUAGACGGAGAAGAAAGAAAUGACGGUAUCCGUAAAGUAAGCCCCGGCUAACUACGUGCCAGCAGCCGCGGUAAUACGUAGGGGGCAAGCGUUGUCCGGAAUAAUUGGGCGUAAAGGGCGCGUAGGCGGUUAAAUAAGUCAGUUGUGAAAGUCUGGAGCUCAACUCCAGGAGUGCAGCUGAAACUGUAUAACUUGAGAGCAGGAGAGGGGAGUGGAAUUCCCGGUGUAGCGGUGGAAUGCGUAGAUAUCGGGAGGAACACCAGUGGCGAAGGCGACUCCCUGGCCUGGGACUGACGCUGAGGCGCGAAAGCGUGGGUAGCAAACAGGAUUAGAUACCCCUGUAGUCC
rnacentral:rRNA from 1 species